UAAGCAUCUAAAUUCCAAGAGAGAGAGCAGCUCCAUUUACAAAAUAGCAAAGAUACAUUUAUAAUUUUAAUUAGAUAACAGGAAAAUCAAUUACAUACAAUUAUGAAAGCUAGCAUUAGACAAAAGAAUCAUGGUAUUUAAGGCUUUUAUACCAUUUCACCAUCAAAGACCCCACUAUGAGAAAAGGGAAAACAUAGAGUAGAGUUGGAGAGUAUAGAAACCUCAAGAACACAACACUAUAAACAUUUUUCACACAUCCUACCUAUGACCUAUAAUAACUCAAAAACACAUAUUUCAAAGUAUAGGACUAUAAACAGUGUUUACACAUCCUACCAAAAUGCCCAGCUCUCUAGAAAUCAUUUUAGCAAGAAUUCAUGCGUAUAAUCAGGACUGGCAAGAAGGUCAAAAGGUUUGGUACCUAUGGCGUCUUUAAGGAUUGUAAUUUGACCUUCCUUGAGAAGAAUGUCUUCAUCAAGGGCCUCUAUCUUCUUCUUCAAGAUGCUUACCUCUGAAUUCAAGAGCAUAUUCUUCUCAUUGUAUUGCUUCACUUCCUCCCAUAUCAAAUCUCUCUCCUCAGAAACUUUGGGUAGAAUGCCCCUUAUGAUUGCUAGCUCCUUCAUAGAUUCUUGGAGGUCAUUUUGAAGCCGACUUAUACUAUCAUCCUUCUUUUGCAUCUGAAGUUCUAAAUCUUUCAACUUGUGGCUGACACAGGAGAGGUUGUCCAUUGCACUAUGGACUUCACAUUUGAGGAUGUCAUUGCCUCUCACUGCUGCUGCCAGUUCAGCCUGCAACUGCUCAACCUCCAACUCUUUAGUGCACAGCUUCUCUCUUAAUAGACUUGUAAGCAAAAUUUCUGCUUUGAGCUCAAAUUUUAAUGUUUCCUAAACAAAAGAAAGGAAAAAAACCAAUAAUAGCAUUGGUGAUUGAAAACAAGUCUACUAGACAACGCAAAUCUCAGAAGAACCUAAAUCAACAAACUGAACAAUUGUCCUUGAUUUAAAUAGCAGCUCACCUCUGAAGCUUGAUGAUUUAGUUUUGCUGAACCAUCAACAUUAGUGCAUGGCACCUCAAAUUUUGAUGCAACUGAACUGGACUUCUCCUGCAGCAAAGAAGAUAUUGUCUGCAAACUCCUCAUUAGAUUCUCAGUUCCUUGCUUAAAGCCUUGAACUUUUGCAUCGGCUUCAACAACAAACUGCCCGUCUAAACCAUUUCCAAUAAGUUCUAUACCCUGCUUAGUUUCUGGAAUUUGGCCUGCUUUCCCUUUGAUGAAUUCCAAUAACCUGGAGCAUAGCUGUGUGCUCUCCUUUAACAUUGAUAGCCCUUGAUUUUUCAGGCAGCAUACAUGGGUCCUCAUUUCUUUAUCUAGUUUGAAAGUUAAAGCACCAAUCUCUCCUCCACUGCCCUUUAAGCGAUUCAAUAAACCAAUAUUCUCAUGUCGAAGAGAAUCAAUUUCAAUCCUAUGAGAUUCCACCUCCCUUCGCAAAGCCAAUUCUACCCCAGUCAACCUCAUUUGCUCCAUUUGCAAUUUUGUCACAUGCUUGUCAUACUUAUCCAAUAACUGCUUCUUCUCAAUUUCCUGACUAAAUGCUUCCUGCAAACCCUCAACUGUCUUCUCUUGUUCAUUGCAGGUUCUUAACAAUCUAGCAGUAGACUUUUGCAACUCUUUGCACUCCUUGUCCUUCUCUUCAAAAUUUCUUUUGAUGCAAUUAAGAUCUUCUUCUGCCACUCUGUACUUAUCUUGUAAUUCAGAAAUAUUUUCUCUUAGAUCAUGAUUCUCCUUGCUCACCUCUUGCAACCUUGAGGUCAGGUGUCUAAGUUGUUGCUCUGAAUAUUUAAUCACACUUCUGCUUUUUUCUUCCCUCUCACUAAAAGAAGAGACUUCCCUCUGAAGGGAGACAUUCUGCUCUGCAAGUUCUCUAACACGAGCUCGAAGCCUCUGCUCUUCUAACUGGUACUUCUCAAGCUUCAACGACCAGUUACUUGACCUUCUGUCUAACUCUUUUUCCAAUGCUGACUGCAAUUCACUCUUCUCCUUUUGUAGUCUUUGGGUCUGUGACUCCAGUUCUGCUUUUGCCAAUCUAAGUUCUUCCCUGGAAGUGUCUCUCUCAGAAAUUCGGGAGUUCAAAAGACCUGAAACCUCAAUAGCCAAGCUUAGUCUAUCCUCCAUUAAGUUCCUAAUAUUCUGAAUCAAGGAUGAUAUAUCAAACCCACUACCUUGAAGAAAGCAUUCUCGGUCAAGUUCUUCAGAAAGAAGCAAGACCCUUUCCUCAGCUUCUUUAGAUCUUCGUUGUAAUUCCACAUCUACAGCAUCCUCAAUUUGAACAAUGUUCAUAUCCCCACAACUGUUCCCAAAUAAACAAGUGUUUUUCUGAGAGCCUAAGAAAUCAUUUUCAUAGUAACUAUUAAUGGUUUCAUAAGGUUCCUCCUGUGAGUAACAUUUUCGGGAAGGAUCAUCUAUAUAUGAAUCAACACAUUUAUUCAUGGAUUCAGCAUAUAUAUCUUCAAUUGUGAUUGGCAUAUCAUGGUUAAACUCCUUCGAACUUGGUUUGUGAAAAUAAUGAGUUUGGGAGAGCCUCUCAAUAACAUUUUUUGCAAGUCUCCGUGGAGAUUCAUGAUUAAAUCCCUUCUCUACCCAAUCUCUGGAAGAAAAAUGAAGGCGGGUGUCUUUAGCAUCCUUAACUGAUUGAGACCUGUGCUUAUUUUUUAUGCCAUCUGUUGGUGAUGCAGGAGCUAUAUAUUGAACUCGUGGUGGAGGCUGUCCAGCAUCAUUUCCAUUCACAGCAAAAUUUCCUUGGAGAGUACAGUUUUUGGGCUUAUUUCUCUCUUGCUGCUGCUCUCCAUCAAUGUAGCGGUCCAAAACUUUGCUUGAGAUGCUACUAGAAGAAGAGUUUCCUGAUGAAUCAUGAUGAGAUUUAGAAGAACUGGAAGAUCCAGGCCUCUCUUGUCCAUAUGCAUUUUGAAUAGUUGUCACUUCAAAUCGCUUUGCUCUGGCUUGCCUCUCAGGUGUAAGAGCCCGCCUUCUAGAUGGAUGAUCAUGAUGACGAGCAGCACUGCUAAUGCUAGUAGAAGGAGAUCUACUUUGAUCACCCAUGUAAGAAAAAUCUCUUUGCUCCAGUCCAUCAACAAGAAAGGCAGCUGAUGACAUUGAGUGGCUUCUUCUAAGAUGUGAACUGGUGCUGGAGCUAGCGGGAUUAUCAUAAACUUGCUUUCGAGACUUUGAGAAUAAGCUUUUGGAACUCUGAAAGUUGUUGUCAGCCUUAUCACCACUUUGAUUGUUCAACCCACCUUCCCAUCCAUCCCAGUAAUCUUGUUUAUCAGUUGAUGGCAGACAACCAUUAUUGUUGUUUCCAUUGUCGGAGGAAGAAGAUCUGAAAAAGAAUAGCUUCUUCAUCUAUGUAUCUAAAACUGUUAUCUGUAGCUCAUGAAAAACAGUGGCUUCUAUCCCGGUCUUUAUAGUCAGUUCUGAUAAAAUCACUGAACCAUUAAUGUCGAGAUACUAAACCUUCUGAGAGAGAUUCAAAAUUCAAAAAAGGAACUAUUAAAUUACAUUUAAAACCCAAAAACCGAAAUUUAAGGAAGCUAUUGCUAGUCAAUGAGCUCUCAAGCCAGCUUAAUUUUAUCCAUCUUGGGGGGGAGGGGAGAGAGUGCAUGGUGGGAAGAGAGAGAAAGAGGGAGAUGGAUAAAGGGC
rnacentral:misc_RNA from 1 species